AUAUGUCUCUACUACCAUCUUGAUCUUCUCAAAUACUAAAACAAAACUAUUUUGAUCAUCAAUUUACCGGAUAUUAAUACCCAAAAUUAAUUUAGCAACUUUAAAACUUGAAGUUCUAAAUGUAAAAUAAAAAUAUUAGCUUCUUAGAGGAUUAUAAUUAUACUCAUAGUAAAAUACAUAGGUAAUUCUUUCUCAAGAUCAAAGAAAAUAGGUCAAGACCGAAUUAUUAAAUAUGACUAUGAUGUAGGAAUAUAAAAUCCUAACAAUCAAAUUUAAACCUAAACUAUAAACGAAAAAACAUUCAAGAACACCAUAACACUCGUGUGAGAAUAAUACUCCACUUUAUUCUGAUGAACAAACACCUUGAUAUUACUCCACAAUGUCCUCCUUGGGAUCGCCAUCAUAUAAUUCAUACAAGAGAAAAACAUAGGUAAGAAGGGGUGAGAUAUGGUGCAUGUGAUUUAAAGUAGUAUAUCAAUAUAAAUCGAUGGACAUAAACGCACAAUGAUACAUUAAGAACACAAAACCAUCUAAGGUUUGGAUAUAACAAUAUAAGGGAAGUAUAUCAAAUGCAGUGUUCUUACACUUAUACUCCUUAUGCAUGUUGUGCCAAUAACUUAUACUUAAUAAAGUAAACUCAGAAGAAAUGAUAAGUCAAAUAAUAAGAACACUUCUCUAGUUGAAUUUCAUUACAACAAACUAUCUUUUGUGCAGUAUUGGUAGGUGUCUCGCUAGGGUUGUCUAGCUUCAUAAGUACACCCCAUAAAUAGUGGGCUCAACAUACACCAUGGAACCUAAUCAAUUCAAUGAAAUUAAGACAUUGACUUGAAUGUCUAAUAACCUAUAUGUGAUGCAUGUCUCACAAAAUAAAAUAAAAACAAAUAUCAUCCUUUAAUUAUCAACAUCUUAAGCUUGAAGGAAGUAUUUCAAUUAGGGAAUCCUUAGUAACAAAAUCCAAACUGUUUGUUAGCCUACUUUACCAAAUAUAUCUCACUUUGAGCUAAGCCACGAUAUAACCUUGAAAAUACCUCUAUAUGUGUGUGUGGUAAUAUUGACUUUGAAUGAACGUUUAUAAUUUCUUCAAAUUCAACACAAGGUACAAUCACAUGAUGAUCGGAAUGUGGAAAACGCUUUGACCAAUCCAUUUGGCUUUAGGAGAUAUAAAUGUGUGCCUUGGAAUGUAAUGUGGUUGUAAGUACGAGUAUCAUAUCUAAGCUUGACCUACAUGCAUGGAAGUUGUAAGUUAUUUAAGUUUGUAAUUGGGAAGAGCAACAAUUUGAGAACUAUCUCCAAAAAGUAUGUUUAGCUUCUGAAAUUCUUGUAAUUUUUUUUGGUGGAGAGAAACAACAUUUUAAGUUCGGGGUUGUGAUGAUGGAUCAUCAUAAGAUGUUUUCAGCUAUGUUUUAAGUUAUUUUCUUUUCAUAUGAAGACAAAUAAGAAGUCAUUAAGAGGAGUUGUCCUUGGUUUGAGGAACAUUUGGUGUUGUUUUUAUUUGAUUCACUAUAAUUCACUUUCAUCCCCAAUCAUGCAGUUCCAUAUGUGUUUUAAGUCUUUUUAUUGAUAAAUCUUGUAAUUCGGCAAACCUAGAAACCACAUGAAUGAACAAGAGAUAUGAAGAACGCAUAUCAAAGGUUCUUAUAAACUUUUGAAGACAAUACAAUUUAAGGAAAUUCAUCCCAAUUUCCCAGGCAUUUCAAGGCCAAAAAACGCUCAAAAAGUAGAACUGUCAAAACGGGACGGGCCGUAUAGGCUGACCCGUUUAGCCCGAUUAAUUAUAGGGCUUGGGCCUUAAAUAUUAAAUCCGAAUUUUCGUAGGGCUUUUUAGCCCGGCCCUAAAAAGCCCGAUACCCGUUAGGGCUAGCCCGGACGGGCCGCAGAUAGCCCGUUAGCCCACAUAACAAAAAAAACUAUAAAUUAUAUAUAUUUUUCAAAUAUUUCUUUACUUGGUUGAUUAUCCAAGUAAAAAGUAAAACUGAAAAUUCAAUCAAUUAAAACAAAUAUAAAUGUAAUAUAGUAUCAUAUUUACUCGUUUCGUUAUUUAUAAUUUUAAAGAUCGAAUAUAUAAAUAUAUAUAACCAUAACGUAUAUAAUUUAUUUAAAAUUGUUUUACUCACCGUUUUACUUUACGGCGUUUGUACGAAAAUGUUACAAUUUAUUUUUGUGCUAGAUAUUAUUUUAAAAUAUUAAAAAUAUUAUUUAUAAAAAAAUUUAUAGGAGUAUUUUAUAAUACUAUUUAAAAAAAAUAUAAUUUUUAAUACAGGCUGACCCUCUUAGCCCGCGACCCUUGUAGGAUAAUUUACUAUUUUAUUACUUUUUUCAAUUUGGUACACUUUCCAAUUCGUUCUCACUCUCUCAAGAUUUUGUCGAUAUUUUUUCUUUUCUUUCUUGCCGACAUCUUGUUACAAGUAACAAUUUUGAACCAGGAGCUUGGUAGUGCUCUUUUUCUACUGAAAAUGUAUGUUACCUUAACCAUAAUAUCUCCAUUUGUUGAUUUUGAAUUCAUAAUAAACAGAUAUUUAAACGGAUAUUUUUUUGUUUAUAACCAGGAGUGAUCAUAAUAUUGAUUUUGAGGAUGAUUGUGUUGUUAGACUUUUUGUGUGUGUGCUUAAGAUUGCAGGAACAUGAUAUUGAAGAAAUACUUUUUACCUUAACUAGAGUAUGCAUUUGCACCAACCAUUAAUGCACUUAAAUGCAACUUCACGAGGACAUGAAAAUAGUCGAUAACACUCGUAGUCAUCAGCACAUUGUCCUGUAGUGUAAAAUAAAAUAAAUACAUAUAAUUAAUUAAAAAUGGUAGAAUGAUUAUGUAUAAGAUAAACAAACGAAAAUAUAUAUGAGAAUGAGUUUAUUAUCUCUAUGUCCACUAUCGUUCCUUUUUUCACCGUCGACUACAACAAGAAAAAGAGAAACAAAAAAGAUCACAACAUAAACAAACUUGUAAUUUUCAGCCAUUUU
rnacentral:lncRNA from 1 species